rnacentral:lncRNA from 1 species
CCGCCCUCCCUCCCUCGCGCUCUCUCUCGCGCUCGCUCGCUCGCUCCAGUAUGUAAAUGUGUAAUAGAAGCCAAAUAUGGAGCAGUUGGCUGCCGCCGCCACAGCUCAAGGAUCCGACUUCAUGGGGGGGGGGGGGCACCCUCUGGCAGGCGGCCCGGCGAGCCGCACAGAGCACGGCGAGCGCACGGCGCGGCUGCCGGCCCGCGCCCUUAACCCUUCUGUGCACCCGGCCGGAGCAGCGGUCCCUCCCUCCAGGGGAGGCCCGGUGCCUCUCCCUAACUGCGGCUCCGGAUCCCGGACAUCGGCCCGUGGGGACUGUGCCUUCCAGAGGGAGCUGGGAAUCUGGUUCCAUACGUCAUUGCACUUUCCACGAAAUCAUGAGGCCCUGAGUUCACAUCCACAGAACUCACAUAAAUACUGGAUCCAUAUGCAAUACCAUCUUCUGUAGUUGGUUGUUUUUUAUUCUUUAUUCUUUUGGGGGCCCGGCCACCAGCUCCCAAAUAAAUCAUGCACACAGAGGCUUAUUCUUACUUAUGAAUGCCCAGCCUUAGCUUGACUUAUUUCUAGUCAGCUUUUCUUAACUUAUAUUAUCCCACCUAUCUUUUGCCUCUGGGCUCUUACCUUUCUCUAUUUGUGUAUAUCUGUUCUUUCCUUCAUAUCCCGUUGCUAGCUGUGUUGCUGGGUAGCUGACCUCUUCUUUUCUGGCUCUCCCUCUUCUAGAUCUCCCUCUCCCCAGAUGUCUCCUCCUAUUUACUCUCUCUGCCUGCCAGCCCCUCCUAUCCUUUCUCCUGCCUUGUAACUGGCUGUUCAGCUCUUUAUAGGACCAAUCAAGUGUUUGAGACAAAGCAACACAGCUUCACAGAGUUAAACAAAUGCAACAUACAAGACUGCAACACAACUUCCCAUCAUUAAACAAAUGUUCCACCGCAUAAACAAAUGUAACACAUCUUAAAUAAUAUUCCACAACAAUCUUCACACUCCUGUGGGGAAAUGGAAGGCAG